rnacentral:rRNA from 1 species
GACGGAGGAUGCAAGCGUUAUCCGGAAUUAUUGGGCGUAAAGGGUGCGUAGGUGGUCAGACAAGUCCCAUGUCAAAGCAUGGUGCUUAACGCCAUAAAGGCGUGGGAAACUGUGUGACUAGAGUACAGCAGGGGCAGGAGGAAUUGCCGGUGUAGCGGUGAAAUGCGUAGAUAUCGGGAAGAACACCAGUGGCGCAAGCGUUCUGCUGGGCUGUAACUGACACUGAGGCACGAAAGCUAGGGGAGGGAAAGGG